AGAGUUUGAUCAUGGCUCAGGAUGAACGCUGGCGGCAUGCCUAAUACAUGCAAGUCGAACGGAAUCUUAUAUGUUCCUCGUUUCGGAUUAGUUCCGAGUUGGGGAACAAUAAGAUUUAGUGGCGGACGGGUGAGUAACACGUUGGUACCUACCCUCUAGUGGGGAAUAACUUCGAGAAAUCGAGGCUAAUACCGCAUAAUAUCUACGGAUUAAAGCAUUUAUGCGCUAGAGGAGGGGCCUGCGUCUGAUUAGCUUGUUGGUGAGGUAAAAAGCUCACCAAGGCGACGAUCAGUAGCUGGAUCGAGAGGUUGACCAGCCACACUGGGACUGAGAUACGGCCCAGACUCCUACGGGAGGCAGCAGUAAGGAAUCUUCCACAAUGGGCGAAAGCCUGAUGGAGCAAUGCCGCGUGCAGGAUGACGGCCUUCGGGUUGUAAACUGCUUUUAUAUGGGAAGAUUAUGACGGUACCAUAUGAAUAAGGACCGGCUAACUACGUG
rnacentral:rRNA from 1 species